CUGCAAUGAUUUAGUUUCCAUUCAGUUUGUGCUUACUGGCUCAUAGCAACACCUCCAGCACGUAGUAGUUGGUUGUGUGGCACCACCAUGAGGCCAUUUGUCAAGUUUUUUUCUUCUGAAAAUAAAACCGUUCCUCCAUAAUUACUCCAUAAGAUUUUCAAUUAUUUUGUUAAAUAAUACUGAUUAAGGAUUUCAUAUUAUUUUAGCUCAGCCUGGAGAAAAUGAGUUUGACGGGAACAUUUGUGGCAAACUAUUGAUUCAGCUGGAGCUUUCUGCUUUGACUCAUGGCCUUCAUUAGGAGUUUGUCCAACCAUGUGACAAAAAAAACCUUGAUUUUUUAACUUCUAGUUCAAAUACAAUUAUCACAAUUGUCUCAUCAUUCUGAUGCACAUCUGUAUUAAAGUGUUUUUUUUAAAUACAUUUAGAAGAUUGUGCGGCUUAAAUGUCUUCAGCAUGCUGUCUGUUUCCCUUUAGCAGACACCAUUAUAUAUAUAUAUAUAUAUAUAUAUAUAUAUAUUAUAAAAACAUACAUUUGUUCGUCAGGCUCCUCGUUCUGCAAUGGCUUUCUGCUAUCAGAUAAACUCAAGCAGGUUCACCAGAACUUCCUUCAGCUCAGACUCCAGCUGGUGCUCUGAGACAUUUCCUCUUCAGUCCACAGCGACCGUCCGCUUCAACGCAACACGACUGUUCUGUUGCAACUUCAAGUCAGAUUUGAUAUGCAGGACUUUUACUUGUUUCAGAAGGUUUUGUGGGUUGUGUAUUAGCAUUAUUAUGACACAUGACAACAAAAGUUGGAUGCAGAAUAAACGUCAAUAAAGUUUUAAUGUCAAUAGAGAAAUCACGUCACUUUUUUUGAAGAGAUGCAGACAGUCCAGGUCGACGCUUCGCACCAGAGACUCUCAGGCUUCACUUUACUCUCCAGCGGGAACGUGUUGAUGAUUCCUGAAAGAACAACGUUGUCAGGAACUCCUCCCACGCUGCUCACAGGUGAAGGGCUUCUCUCCAGGAUGGGGCUCACAGGUGAUCCGGUGUCUUUUCCUCACUGAGACCCAGAGAUGCAUCGAUGGUUUCCAUGGUGACAGCAGCCAAAGGAGUUUUAAAAUUAAAAAAAUAUUUUCAAAAAUAAACACGGAAAAAUACAUGAAAUCGACUAUGUACUAAUAUGAAAGUCCACAACAACCUGAAAACUCAGAUGCAGUAUAUUAUACUUGUUAAUCAAAACUAAACUGUGUGUUGAAUGUGUCAAAUGUAUCACAUCAUAGUGUUACAGUGGUCCAUUUCAUUUUUAUUUCAGCAACAGUGGCAUCCAGUUGGUCUGGAUGCCAACAUUUCUCUUUGUAAAAUGGUAAAAAAUAACGUCGUCAUUCAUUUCG